rnacentral:rRNA from 1 species
AGCGUUGUCCGGAAUUAUUGGGCGUAAAGCGCUUGUAGGCGGUCUGUCGCGUCUGCUGUGAAAAUCCGGGGCUCAACCCCGGACUUGCAGUGGGUACGGGCAGACUAGAGUGUGGUAGGGGAGACUGGAAUUCCUGGUGUAGCGGUGAAAUGCGCAGAUAUCAGGAGGAACACCGAUGGCGAAGACAGGUCUCUGGGCCGUAACUGACGCUGAGGUGCGAGAGCGUGGGGAGCGAACCGG